rnacentral:tRNA from 4 species
GGGCGAUUAACUCAGUGGUGAGAGUGCCAUCUUCACACGGUGGAAGUCACAGGUUCAAAUCCCGUAUCGCCCACCA